rnacentral:rRNA from 1 species
CCUACGGGGGGCAGCAGUGAGGAAUAUUGGUCAAUGGCCGGAAGGCGGAACCAGCCAUGCCGCGUGAAGGGCAGGGCCCUAGGGGCGUUAAACGUCUAUUGUGCGGGAGCAAUAAUGGGCACGUGUGGCCAGACGAGAGUACCGUACGAAUAAGCAGCGGCUAACUCCGUGCCAGCAGCCGCGGUAAGACGGGGGAUGCAAGCGUUAUCCGGAUUUCUUGGGUUUCAAGGGUGCGUAGGCUGUGAGGUAAGGCAGCGGUGAAAUGCCCCCGCUCAACGGGGUGAAGUGCCAUUGAUACUGCCUUGCUGGCCUGCGGAUGCCGUGGGAGGCAUGUGUGGUGUAGCGG